rnacentral:rRNA from 1 species
UCCGUAGGUGAACCUGCGGAGGGAUCAUUACCGAGUGAGGGCCCCCGGCCCGACCUCCAACCCAUAUGUUGUCCGACCAUGUUGCCUCGGGUGGGCGCCGGCCGUCACGCGGCCGACCGCCCCCCGGUGGACCCCCUCUCAACUCUCGCGUCCCGCCGUCUGAGUCUUUGAUUAUUGAAUCGAAACAAAACUUUCAACAACGGAUCUCUUGGUUCUGGCAUCGAUGAAGAACGCAGCGAAAUGCGAUAAGUAAUGUGAAUUGCAGAAUUCAGUGAAUCAUCGAAUCUUUGAACGCACAUUGCGCCCCCUGGUAUUCCGGGGGGCAUGCCUGUUCGAGCGUCAUUACACCACUCAAGCCCGGCUUGGUAUUGGGCCUCGCGGCCAGCCCGCGUGCCCUAAUGUCCUCGGCCGCGCCGUCCGUCUCCCCGCGUUGUGGCAAUCAUGUUCGCGACGGAGCCGGCCCGGCGUGGUCCGUCAACGACCCCCCAUCUUCAGGUUGACCUCGGAUCAGGUAGGGAUA